rnacentral:sRNA from 1 species
GCACUUGAGCAGGGAAGAAAUUCACAAGGACUCACCAGUCUCCUGGUCUGCAGAGAAGACAGAAUCAACAUGAGCACAGCAGGAAAAGUAAUCAAAUGCAAAGCAGCUGUGCUAUGGGAGUUAAAGAAACCCUUUUCCAUUGAGGAGGUGGAGGUUGCACCUCCUAAGGCCCAGGAAGUUCGUAUUAAGAUGGUGGCUGUAGGAAUCUGUGGCACAGAUGACCACGUGGUUAGUGGUACCAUGGUGACCCCACUUCCUGCGAUUUUAGGCCAUGAGGCAGCCGGCAUCGUGGAGAGUGUUGGAGAAGGGGUGACUACAGUCAAACCAGGUACAGGAUUCACACUCAGGGAACACGUGUGGUUCACCAUCCUAAGAUUUCCCAGCCUGAAUGACGAAACAGAGGCAAUGAGGGACGAACGGGCUUGAACAAGGUCACCGCGCAGCCAGGACUUCAGGGAUUUCCUCUUUCCCUCUCUUCCUGGCUGACUCAAGCAUGUAUGUCUUUAGGCAAGCA